rnacentral:pre_miRNA from 1 species
AAUGCUAUUGCUGGAUCAUAUGUUUUGUUUUACUUUAUAAGAAACAUUUAAACUGUCUUCUAAAGUGGUUGUAUUAUUUUGCUUUCCCAUCAGUAAA